rnacentral:lncRNA from 1 species
UUUGUUGGCCUUUUUCAUUAGGUACUUUCGGAUUCCGAAUCUGUUCGGUGGCUAAACCAUGCUGUUGAAAAAAUAUGGCCUAUUUGUAUGGAACAGAUUGCAUCACAGAAGAUUCUGCUUCCCAUCAUACCUUGGUUCUUGGCUAAGUACAAACCUUGGACUGCUGUAUGAAUUUUGCUUCUCUUAGUACUAUUUUAUUGGCUAUCUCUGGAAAACUAGUACAUAAAGAUUCUGAUUUAGUAAAAUGUUCAAUUUAGUGCAAAUGAACAAUUUGUACUUUUUUAAGACUUGCAUUCGCUCCUAUGAAGUUACUUUCAAUGACCAUCAGAUGAUUAUUUUUUGAUCCAUUUUGGGUGUGUUUGACUGAAAUGUUGCUAUGCCUGCAGAAGAAAGCUGUGGUUCAGCAUUUAUAUUUGGGAAGAAAUCCACCUUUGAUCACGGAGGUGAGAGUUCUUCGUGAAUGCUCUGAUGAUGACCACUUGGUAUACCUUCUCCCUAACUCCUCUCUGUUGGCUAUGAUUUCUUGUUUCAAUUUUGAGGAUGAUAGAACUUUCAAUUUCUCGUUGCAGGUACUGGAGUUGGGAAUGAAUUUUCUCACCGCGGAUGACAUGAGUGCAAUACUUGCUGUGAAACUACGGAAAAGACUGGGAUUUGGGAUGUGGGCGAAGUUGCAUGUAACAGGCAUGCAUGUUGAAGGAAAGGUAUUAAUAAAAAUGGAAUGGUAUUAGCUAUAUUCAAUUUUCACAUUAAAAGAGUUUAUAGUCUUUCCUAAGCAGUUGUUAAUCGGAGGAAUUUGCAUGGCAUCACAUAGUUUGGGCCCCAUCCUGCCUCCUGCAAAUACUUAACUUUAUUGACUUACUGUAAUUAACUGGCAUUUACUCCAUGUUUCAGGUUUUGGUUGGGGUGAAGUUUAUCCGGAAGUGGCCUUUCAUUGGUCGUUUGCGAGUAUGCUUUGCUGAGCCUCCAUAUUUCCAGAUGACUGUGAAACCUGUCUUUACACACGGACUUGAUGUUACGGAACUUCCAGGAAUUGCUGGAUGGCUUGUAAUAACUCUUUUUCCUGAAAAUCUUUGACUAUAUUUUAUUAUCUUUUACUUCCUCUCAAUCUUAUUGUGUAUCCUCUUUUGCUCGCGUAGGACAAGCUUCUUUCGAUAGCAUUUGAGCAGACACUUGUUGAGGUUAGUUUUCCUUAACUCUGUUGCCAUACAAUGGCAUAAAUUCCAUCUUAUAUUCCACAAAUGCAUAUCGUAGUUUUAGAAUGCACUUACAGGUUUAAGUUACCAGCAACUUGCUUCUGUAUUGAACUUUAGCUCCAAAUAUUUGUUUAUUUUGCAGCCCAAUAUGCUGGUUGUGGAUGUUGAGAAGUUUGCUUCACCCAUUCCAGGUAAUUUUUUUCAUUAUUUUCCAGUAUUUAGUUGCUCUUAUAUUUUACUUAUAGCUCGUUUCCGGUCAUUAACUUAUUACCAGUUCUGCUAUUUCAUUAGUCAAAUUUUCUCAUUCACCUUUUUGUUGAUUCUGUCCGACAGAAAACUGGUUUUCUGUCAAUGAGAAGCAACCUAUUGCUCAUGCCAAGGUUGAAGUUAUUGAAGGGUCCGACAUGAAACCUUCAGAUUUAAAUGGUCAGUUUUAAAUCCAGUAUCUUACUUUUCCAUCAUGUAAAAUACAUGGUUUUAUGGUCAUUGAUUGGAUAUAAAAUUUUCAGGAUUGGCUGAUCCAUAUGUGAAAGGGACACUUGGCCCUUAUAGAUUCAGGACUAAGACGCAGAAGAAAACUUUGUCUCCGAAAUGGCACGAGGAAUUUAUGAUCCCCGUCUGCUCCUGGGAGGCACCUAACGUACUGAUUAUAGAAGUUCGUGACAAAGACCAUUUAUAUGAUGAUAGCCUUGGGUUUGUCUCUGAAUCUCUAAAAUAACCAUAUUGCUCGAUCAUGUUUGAAAUCUUCAAACAAAUUUUCUUUUCAUUUACGCCUAUUAUGCUUUUUGAGUGCCACUGUUUUUGCAGUUUGUGCACUAUGUUGACAACCCUUUCCAAUUAUGCAUUAGCACGUCUUAGAAAUAGUUCCCUUUUAGAUGUUUUUGAUCCGUGAUAUAUGAUACCACUGUUUGUUUUCCGAAUUCCUUAUGACUUGUUUAAGACUCUCAAAUGGUGUACUGAUUUGCUGUGUUUACAGUAAGUGCUCGGUAAAUAUUACUGAACUUCGAGGUGGCCAGAGACAUGACAUGUGGUUGCCUCUUCAAAAUAUUAAAAUGGGAAGACUGCAUCUCGCAAUAACCGUUCUUGAAGAGAAUGCUAAGGUAAUUUAUUCUAUGAUCCACAUUAUAGUCGGAAGGUUUUAAAUUGCAACCUUGCGUGCAAAUUAUUAUUAUGAGUUAAUAUGUGUCGAGAAACUAAAAAGGAUGUAUGGACAGUUUACGCAGGUAAGUGAUGGUGCUGCAGUUGAUGCUUUUGACGCCGAAGCAUUAAACAAGGAAGAUGUACAAAACUCAUUUGCAAAUAUAGAUGUGAAUAAUGGUUUAUUCUCGCCUACUUCUUCAAAGAAAUCUCCGACCCUGCCGGAUCAUUUAGAACCGAUAGAUGUUGAAGGACAACAAGAAACCGGGAUAUGGGUCCAUCACCCCGGAAGUGAAGUGUCACAAACUUGGGAACCUAGAAAAGGGAAAGGUAGAAGCCUCGAGACACAGAUUCAUAAAGUGCCUAAUAGUUCAUUUGGCAGCACCAUGUCGGCUGCAUCUGGAUCCUCUAAAAGUGAUGACAGCAGUGCUGAGGAAAACCAUAAUCCGAAGAAUCGAGUCAACAGAGUUAAGCAGGGUUUACGGAAGAUCGGUUCUGUAUUUCAUAGGAGUCCCAAAAACGAGGGUCACUCAGGCAACCUCGGAGAAGUGGUUCCAUCUCCCCAUGAAAAUCUCAGAGCAGUUAAUGACAAGGAGAUUUUGGUAAAGUUUGUAGUCGACGACAAUCUUUCGGCUGAUAAGGUCUCAAACGAAGGAAGCUUGAGUCCUGGAGAAGAAAGCCCUGGAAAGAUGAAAGACAUGGCGAAGAGUAUUCUAAAGCAUGCUGAGAAAUCUGCUCGUAGCAUAAAACAUGUUCUUUCUCGUAAAGGGUCGAAAAAAUCACGCAAUCUAUCAGCUGUGGAAGAACAAGAGUUUCCAAUAGAAUCCGACUCCGAUGAUGAUGAUGAUGAAUCUUUGUCAUCCCCGGGAGUCAAGGGAAUACCAAUUCUUUCCAAUCGCAUGCCCAGCUCCCGUGGCAACGAUGAUACUGAGGAGCAUGUCAUUUUGACAGAUUCAAACAGCCAGUUGAGCCCUGAAACAAAUGUUAAGGAACAAGUAGAGAAAACAAGUGUUGAAGGACACAACAACAUAGAUGACGAAGAUGUGAACAAUCCCAUUAAGCACGGUAAUGGAAUGAACAACAUAGAUGACGAAGAUGUGAACAAUCCCAUUAAGCUCAGUAAUGGAACGAAUGAGCCACCCUUGAAACCAAAUCCUUCGGAGAGUGAGAAAAAGGUAGAAGAAGACACUUCUCAAACAGAUACCAAAGUUUAGGUUCAGUGUUUGUAUGUGCAUCCAUAAUAGAAGACUUGAAAAGAGUUUUGAAGAACAGCGGGCAUGGUCCAGCAAUUUAGAGUUUUAGAUGGAUAAGCAAUACGUAAUACGUUUAUACAUGUUCCCUGUAAAAAUCUCCUUUGUUUGAUUUCUCACAUUUGUUAUAUACAACACAUCUUUGUAGAGUUCCAAAAUGAAAACAGGUUGUACAAGUUUAUGGCUUUUUAAACUUUUAUUUAAGUUACUUUUUUUUAAUUUUAAUUUAAAAUUCAUAAUUUAAUUGUUGAUCAUUUCAAAAUAGUUAACUGCUCCUGUAUUAAAUUCACAUACAAGGAUGACUGCAUAUUUUGACAUCCAAAAUACGAGAAAGUCGAUAAAAGUUGCCAAAUAUUGUCUGUAACAUAGGUUUCCGAAUAUUCCGACGAGAUAAAUUAAAUUUAAAUUAAUCACCUAGUUUAGUCAUCAAAAUUUAAUAAAUUAACAAUUAGAUUCAAUUAUGUCGUUUAAACAUUUUGCUACAUUUGAGAAUAAUUCUUUGGUUUGAGCAUUUCAGAGUUUUAGAGAACAAUGUAUAUAUUAUCUUACAAGCUCAGAGAUGAGACUGCACUUGCUUCCAACUCCAAACCGAAAUGAUUUAACAGGUUGCAACCGGAAGCUAUGCUACUAUCAGACUCUUUCAAACAUUAAUUCUUCUGAAUUUCCGAAUUACAUUGCAUAAAAAUGUCAUUUCAAGAGAGCUAACAUUUCCACCACUCAUAUUAUGCACCGCUCGCAUACAAACGGGUCCAUUCCUUAGCUGCAAAUAGUUAAGGAAACCAAGAACAUCAAUAGUAAGAAGCACGGCAUAUCAUCUUUGAUUCUAGUAGUGAUCUAAGAUUGCAACCACAGGGUUUUACCUGUCUCGACGGCUUCGGCCUCAUUUGUUUUCCAGUGCUUAGCAAUGUUCUCCAAGAGUGGAUCAUCAGGAUUAGGAGCACUCAAGAGUGCUUGAAUGCUAGCAAUAACGAUAAUAACUUCAGUAUCAACCUAAAACUUGAUCAAGAUACCGCAAUAACUUAAAUAACAUCUUCAACCCAGACAUUAAUGAAACCCCUUUCCAAGUAUUAGCAUGUACAUACGAAAAAGCAGUGAAGUCUUUCAUGCAGAACAGAAGCUACAUAAAUAGGGUUAUGCUGCACAAAAACUUAUAAUACCUCAAAAGUACAGUUCGAAUCUGGAGAGCCGAACUCCAUUUGUCUUUCAGAAUAUCGAGGCUAUUCUUCCAAGCUGCAAGAAAGCUCAAUCCUUAGAAGCCAACAAAAGACAUCUUUAACACCAUAAAACAAGGACAAAACAAGUAACAGGUAGAGCUGACCUUAUCGAUGUUAGGAUGAUAUAUCUUUGUAAGAAACCGGACCUGUUACACCAAAUUUGUUAAGGUGGAUAAAAAUACAGAACAUUCCAAAAAGGGCAAAACUAAUGGAAGAUGAAAAAAUUCUGAGAAACAAACAAGUCCAAUCACCAUACUAGUAAAUGUAAGAACAAGGACUUUGAAAAGCCAGUGCAUAUAACAUACUAUUAAAUGUUCAUUUCCAAUCAAUAUUUUCCUCUCAAAUGUCAUUAAAAGCAAAUAAUGACAUAGAACCAAAACUUCACCAUGUUGAAAGGAGAAUAAUACCUAUUUGCCACACCAAUAAAGUAAAAGUGAAAUUCUGUUGAACCUGAAACUACCGGAACAGAUAAAGCAGCGUUCUCUACAUGCAAACUAGUGCAUCCCUAAUUCAUAUUAAAAUCCAAUAUAUAACAUUUUCAGAUGAAGUCGAUCAAUAUCGUUUAUCAAAGGAACAUCAAUCGAGCAUAUCCCAACAUAUGCAAAAAACAUGAAGGUCAUGCUUUAAGAAUAAGUCAAUGUUGAUUACCUUGGGAGCCGCCAUGGGAUAUUCUUCAGGCAAAAAUAGUUCCAACUUGAAAACCCCUCCUAAACAAAGAACCCAAACAAGAAAAUUCAUCAUAUUCCAUACAUAAUCCAAAAUGAUAAAAAGGUGAUGAGAUAUUACAAAGCAUGCGAAUUGGCCUUAAAUUUCAACACAGAAAACAUGGGUCCCUUUCUUUAUCUUUAAAAGAUGGAAAUGAAGUAAUAUAAACGCUGCAUAAUCAUUUUCUCAAAAGAACAGAAAAAAAAGAAAAAGCAAACUUUACGCAUAUGGAGGUUAUUUUAAUAACUAAAAAUUGGCUAUGGUGUCAAUCUGCAUGUAUUAAAUCAGCUGAGAUCGAACUAUUAUACAAUAACUUCUAAAAUUUUACAGUUCUAACACAAAGAAAAAUUAUCAGCAACCAUCAGAUUAAAAAGAAAAUCAACUACCUUCAUAUGGAGAUUGUGUUGGACCAAGGAUCAUCACAUUGAAAUAUCGCAUAUUAUCCUCUGAUGGUGAGGCACUAAUUCCAGGCGCUGUAUUUAAGGGGGGAAAAACAAUAAACUCUUUUAUUUACCAGGAAAAGAAACCCAGAAAAUUCAACAAGAGAAAAAAAAGAGCAGAGUAUUUACCUGGUUCACUGAGGAGACGCUGAGUUUCCUGUUUAGAUCAAAGAUUAAGAAACAAAAAUUAAGCAUGAAGCAUUUACAAAAUUCACACAAACAAACUAAGAACACUUAAAAUAAUUUGCUGAAGCUUUUGAUUCAUUAAAACCCAAAACAAUUCAGCUACCAAAUCAAACUCUAAAAACCCAGAAAAAAGAAAAACAAAAAUUAUGAGGCUUCUAAUGAAGAAACCGAGAAGGAUCAGAGUGAGACCGAAAAAGGAACCUUUAUGAUUCUUCGAGGGAGAUUACUGUUGGCCAUUGGCGAGAUCGAUUGCAAGAAAAAAAAGAAAGAGGGUUUUUGGGAUUUAGAAAUUGAGAGAAAACGAAAUUAAGAAUCUUUUGUGUAUAUAAAAAGAAAGAAAAAAAAAAGGAAAUUAUUUAAUGCGCUAAAAAAUAAUAUAAAAAAGAAAGUACUUAACAUAAUGUUUAUGUAUAAAUAUAAAAAAAUAAUAUAUAUACUAGUAAUCUCCCUCGAAAAAUCAUUCAGGUCCCCUUUCGAUCUCACUUUGAUCCUUUUCGAUUUCUUCCCAGAAGAUUUUUUUUUCGUUAAAUUUUGUGUGUUCUCCUUUCUGGGUUUCUGGAGUUUGAUUUGGUAAUUGAAUUGGUUUGGGAUUUAAUGAAUCAAAAACUUCAGCAAAUUAUUUUCAGUCUUGUUAGUUUAUUUGCGUGAAUUUUCUAAAUGUUUAUUGCUUAAUUCUUGCUUCUUAAUCUUUGAUCUAAACAGGAAACUGAGCGUCUCCUCAGUUUACCAGGUGAAUACUCUGCUUUUUUUUUUUUAAUUUGAAAUCCUUGUUGAAUAUUGUUUGCUAUCGUUUUUCGGUUUAAAUCUUAUGAGCUGAAAAAAAGUUAAAAUUUCUGGGUUUCUUCUCCUGGUAAAUAAAAGAGUUCAUUGUUUUUUCUUUUUCCCUUAAAGAGUUGAUUGUUUGCUCUCAUAUACUUAAUGGUGAAUUAAUUUUGUUUUUCUGGUAAAAAUUUGAUCAACCCCAGGAGUUUGAUACAUUGACACCAUGAAAGAGGAACAACGCUUACUUCUUCUCCACUCAUCCUCACUCUUCUCUCCUCCUCAAGGUCUUUCCUUUCCUUCAAAAACCAAUUGAUAUUUCUUUUCAAUUUUGUUGCUAACAAAAACAUUGAACUUUCUAUUUUACUUUUUUGGUUUUUUUUAGGAGUGAAGCUAUCAUAUGGGACGGCAGGGUUCAGGGCAGAUGCAUCGAUCCUUAAAUCAACAGUUCACAGAGUUGGGAUAUUGGCUGCUUUAAGAUCACUCAAAACCCAAUCAGCUGUUGGAUUGAUGAUCACAGCUUAACACAAUAAAGUUACUGACAAUGGAGUCAAAAUUGUUGAUCCAAGUGGUGGAAUGCUCACUCAAGAAUGGGAACCUUUUGCAGAUCAACUUGCCAAUGCCCAAACUCCUGAAGCCUUCCUCUCAGUGAGUAGCCUCUUCUUUAUGUUUUUGGAUGCGCAUUUUAUUCGUUUUAUAGUAAUUCAGUGAAAUUAUUGCUGAAAGAUAAUGGGAAGUGAUGCAUUUUUAAAUAUAUUUCCAAAUUUUCUUGAUGAUUAAUGUUAAUGUGUUCUAUAAGAAACAAUAGCUUUCUUUCCCCUUGAUGAAAAUACAAUGUAUUAUGCAUAUAAUUAACAGAAAAAGUAAACCAACUAAUAUAGCCUAAGAAGCCCACUUGUAGUUGAAAAAAAUUCCAAUAUAAAGUUAGAGUAGUUUGUAUAAGGUGAGACUUACAGUUGAGACCUAAUGGUUUUGGGAUUGUCGCCUUACCUGUGAGACAAGGUCAGUUGAGAAAGCAACAAUCGUUUUGAUACUAUAGUUUAUGUUUGUUUGAUGAGUGAACUGAAGGUGUAAUAAUUUUGUUUAAGCUCAAAAAGUAUGCUAAAUUUUAGUGUUGUUGUGUAUUUGAUAUAAAUGGAGAGGGAGUUUUAGGAAAGGGAUGUUGAGUUUGAAGAGUGGAUUUAAAUUCAAUGUUAAAUGCGACUAGGAAUGCAUAUUAUACUUAUCAAUUGUUUGUUCAUACAACAGCUCAUAACAGAAUUUGUAGAGAAGGAAAAAAUUCCAUUAGAUGGAGUGCAAUCUGCAGAGAUAUUGUUAGGAAGAGACACCCGGCCUAGCGGAGAAUCUCUCCUUGAAGCUGCAAAGCAGGUACACUUUUUUUAAUCAACAGGGGAUUGCUGAAACUUUGAUAAUUUUCAUUGUGAUGUUAAAUGCAUCUAUCAUUUGCUAAUAUCUAUCUAUUUUUUAGGGAAUAAGUUCAAUUCUUGGAGCUAUUGCACUUGAUUUAGGAAUUUUAACAACCCCACAGCUGCAUUGGAUGGUUCGUGCUAGGAAUAAAGGCAUGAAAGCGACAGAACCUGCUUAUUUUGAACAGAUUUCAAACUCCUUCAGGUUAGUUGAAGCUUCAGGUUUUUUUGUAGCCAUUUUUUAGCUUGAAAUUGUACUACCUACAGUAAUGUACUAUUGUUUAGGUGCUUGGUAGAUUUGAUCCCAAAUGAAACCAAAAGCAGCAAGAUGGAUAACACAGUUGUGGUUGAUGGGGCUGAUGGUGUGGGUGGAGAGAAACUUGAAGUUUUGAAAACUAUGUUAACCAGUUUAGUUAUCGAGGUUCGUAAUACUGGUAAAGGUGGGGGUAUAUUGAAUGAUGGGGUUGGUGCUGAUUACGUACAGAAAGAGAAGGUUGUUCCACGUGGAUUUUGUUCCAAUGAUGUUGGAUUAAGGUGUGCUAUCUCUUCAGAUUUGGGAGUAAAUUACUGUUAUCAACUGUUUAUAAGCUAAUUAUUCUUGCAUCUCACUGAAUUGUUGAUCAAAGGUUAAAGGCACAUUAAACAUGUAACAAAUUUGUGAUAUUCUUUUCUUUUUAUAACUGGUGUGUAUAAUUAACAAAUUUUCGAUGGUUUGAUAACUGUCUAGUUAGCACUGCUUCAUGAAGUGAUCACUAAUCAGACACUUGAUUGAUUCAUGAUGGUAUUUGAUGGUAUUUUUACUAUGAUACUGUUUCUAGAGUAUGUUUUGAAAUCUGGUCGUGCUCUGAACUUUUGUUUAUUAGGUGUGCAAGUUUGGAUGGUGAUGCUGAUCGCCUUGUAUAUUUUUCGGUCCCAACUAACAGUAGCAGAAAAAUUGAUCUUAUUGACGGGGACAAAAUAUUAUCCUUGUUUGCAUUGUUCAUCAAGGAGCAACUAAGUAUUCUGACCAAGAAGGGCACUGAAAACCUUAAUAAUAAUUCUCAUGCUCGACUUGGUGUUAUACAGACAGCUUAUGCUAAUGGAGCAUCCACUGAUUAUCUCAAACAAUUGGGUUUGGAAGUCAUUUUUACUCCUACAGGGGUAAAACACUUGCAUGAGAAAGCUGCUCAGUUUGAUAUUGGAAUCUAUUUCGAAGCCAAUGGUCAUGGCACUAUCUUGUUCUCUGAAUCCUGGUUGUCUUGGUUAGAGGCCAGGAACAAUGAAUUAGGUUUUGCAUCUGAAGGUAAUUUAUGAAUAGAGUCCUUUUCUUAGAAGAAUUAUCUAUUAUAGUUUAUCGAGUAUUAUUGUCAUUUUUUUCUCAGGAUCCGAACAACAGAAAGCUGCUCUAAGACUACUCUCUGUCAGUAAAUUGAUCAACCAAGCUGUUGGAGACGCUUUGAGUUGCUUGCUUUUGGUUGAGGUUGUUUUGCAACAUAAGGGUUGGUCCAUACAUAAAUGGAAUGAACUUUACCUGGAUUUACCUAGUCGACAACUUAAGGUCAGUUUUCGUUAUCACUCUUGGAAAAGAAACUAGGGUAGUCUUUCCCAUCUAUAGAAGGGAUCAUCAUAUCUACCUUUUCUUGCUAGUUUUCCAUAUUUUGACUAAGAUCUUUCUUUUGCACGUUACACCUAAGACAUCUUAUAACUCGUUGAAGAGAUGGACCAUUUGAUUUUCUAUACGAGGGAGAAAGUAUGCUUCAUGUCUGUUGAACUUGAAAAGGAUUCAUAUAGUCCUCAAUAGAGAGGCUGUGUUCGAGGGCUUCUAACUAAACUCCUAGAGUUUGACUAGUAUAAGCUUGCAACAUUAGCUUAAAAAUAUUAGAUUUAUUACAUCAGAAAGAGAAAAAAGGGAAAAUCUUUGAUACAACUGAUUUCUGCAUGCUGCGUCCACUUUAUAAUGUUUGUCUUGUAAACUCUGCUAUAGUGUAGUCUUACAUUAGCAAUGCUCAAACAAUUUAAUGUUUCCAUUGCUUGUGCUAGGUCAAAGUUGUAGACAGAACAGCUGUUGCAACAACAAAUGCCGAAACUGUAGCUAUUAGUCCCCCUGGCAUUCAAGAAGCCAUUGAUGCUGAAACUGGUAACAUUUUUGUCAUUGAUCUCAUCUCAAUGCAUGUUUUGGUGCUUAUCCUUGGGCUUAUUUUUUGGUUCAAUUAACAUCUAACUGUUGGGGGAAUAUUUUUCUCUUAAAUCUCUUUCGAGGCCUCGUGUAUAUUAACUAUUUCUGAGAACUCAUACAAAAUGCAGCGAAGUACCCUAGAGGCCGGUGUUUCAUACGACCAUCAGGUACAGAGGAUGUCAUUCGUGUUUAUGCAGAAGCCUCCACCCAAGAAGCUGCAGACAGCUUGGCCGGUUCUGUUGCCAAAAUUGUUGAUCGUUUUCUAGGUUUUAGCAGCUCUCAGCGGUAGCUUCCCUAAUCUUUCACAAUGUAACAGAAAUCACAAAUGGAGACGCAGAUUACUGUGGGUGCUUUAUAUUUUAUGUUUUGUUUUGAAGGUAAUAUAUUUUGUUAUACUUUUUUAUAACAUUAAACUUUGUCAUCUUACUUUUACAGGCAUUGAUUUCAAAUUGAGUUUUCCCCACUACUUUGAACAUUACAGAGUUCCUUUUCUGUUCGGUAUCUACUCGUCUAUGUGGAUGCUUCCCUGUGCGGUAAAAGUACCCCGCAAUCUUUCACCUUCAUCCCUUGCCCUUCAUUGUCCUGGUUGAUGAAAUGGUUAAACUACUUCUUUGGCUGACAAUUCCGACUCCAACCGAGUAAUCCAUUUGGUGAUGGGCAAGGAACACAUUGGUUUUCCUCCCAUUCUGUGCCCCACAUUGAUUUCCUAGAGAAGAGUGCAAUGUCUCUUCCCAAGCUUGUGAAACGAACUUGUCAUAGUAGGUAAAAGCCCCAUCGGCCUUGUCAAAAAUGAGAACCUUUUGCCGAUCAACUUCCCAAUGCCCAAACUCUUGGAAGCUCUCCUCUCUGUGGGUAACAUUUUAUGUUUGUGGAAGUGGGUUUUAUUUGUUUUAUAGUAAUUCACUGAAAUUAUAUCAAGAAACUAUUGGAACACCCGGAAAUAUAUUUGAGCACCUCCAACUUCUAAUAAUUAACAAAAAAAAAAAAAGAAAAAAAAAGGAAGCUUUUGUGCUUCAGGGUACAGCCUUUUUUAUAUUCAACAUCACCAUAAGCAUUUUAAAUAAUAAUAUAAAAACCAGCACCAUAAGCAUUACUUUCCAACAUCAAAUUAUGUUUAUCCAAUUCCUCAAGUACAAGGUUAACCAACGAGGAAUCUACAAGAAAUGCCAGUCCUUUAUCAUUAAAUAUUUAAAGUGUUAAUAAACAAAUCCAUCCACCAAACCAUCAAAAACAAUGUCAAACUGAACAAUGAUGUACCAUUUCCCUGAGAUCCUUCCCAUGUAAGUCUUGAAGAGCAUCAUACUCCACCAAUCUAUCUCCUUCACUCACUUCACACAAAUUUUUCAUUGUAAGAACAAAAAUUUUAUUUACUCGAGUUUAAAAAGGGUAAAAAUAAUUAGUUUAACUUUUUAAUUUUAAAUUGAAUUGAUUCAAUCGAUAAUUUGAUCUAAUAUAUGAACAAUUAACUAACAAAUAAAAAUACAUCCCACCACAUAAUUAUUUUAAGUGUGUUAUUUUCAAAAUAAAAAUCCCAAAGUUUUGAUAUUUAUAAAAGAAAUUAUUUAGUUAAUUAUUAAUAAUCCACCAACAUGACAUGUUAUAGUAUAUGGUCAAAAAUAUUUAAAAUAAUUAAUAUAAUAAAAAAAUAUGUCUUCUUAGUGGGGCUUUUUAAUUUUAAUUAAUCCAAUUUAAAUAACUAUAUAUAAAUAUUAUUAAAUUUUAAAUAAAAAAUAAAUUCAACUAAACCGGUUCAUGGGCCGGAUACGAGCCCACCGUUUUUCUUCAACAAACCGCGAAAGAGCAGAUUGCUUGAGUGAUGUUUAUAAACAAACGGCCGAGAAAAUGACAAUACACUCACCAAACCAGCAAACCAAACGAAGGAUAACAUUAAAAAUGAACACUUAGAAAGAUAUCUUCUAGAUUUUGCUUAUUAAGGCUUUGAUUUGAUCGUUUCCUCGAUCUCAUUUAAUAUUUUUAAAAUUAAUCUCAAACCCAAACCAUCCCAUUCAGCGGAAUUGACAAUGCUGCUUAACGUGGGUACUUUCAUAAGAUCAGCUACUCGAUUUUCUCCUUUCAUUAUAACCCAUUCUUCUCCUUCUUCGUUUUGUUUCAGUUUCUCUCCAAAGCAAACCGUCUCUUUUACUCUACAAUCAUCGCAAAUGGCGUCUUUUACUACGUUAUCUCAAUCGCCUCCAAAGCUAUUGUUUCGUCAGUUGUUCGAGAAAGAAUCAUCUACUUAUACUUACCUUCUUGCUGAUUGUUCCCACCCUGAUAAACCAGCGCUUGUAAGUGUUUAUUUUAAUGAAAAUAAAAUCUAGGUUUUGUUUGCUUUUGGGUUUUUUUUUAUUAGUAUUUGAUAUAUGGUGAAAAUGGGCGUGUGCAGUUGAUUGACCCUGUAGACAGGACUGUUGAUAGAGAUUUAAAUUUGGUUAAAGAAUUGGGGCUGAAGCUUAUUUAUGCUAUGAACACUCAUGUACAUGCUGAUCAUGUUACUGGAACUGGCCUCAUCAAGGUUUUCCCUUUCUCACUUUUACUCUACUCUGUUCUCUAUAUUUUUGGGGUUAUUAGAGAAAUAAAGUCUACUAUCAGUCAAUUUUGUUACUUAAGACUUGAGACUGUUGAACUGGAUAAUUCAGGUUCUAAUCAUUCAGGGAAUGUUAUUGGCUCUUAGAUUGACGUAUAUGAAUGUGAUUGUUCCUUUUAGGGCAAGGUGCCUGGUGUCAAAUCCGUUAUUUCAAAGGCCAGUGGUUCCAAGGCUGAUGUUUUUGUUGAAGCUGGUGACAAAAUCUCUUUUGGGGAUCUCUUUCUUGAGGUAGGCUUGUGUACGCAAAACUGCUUGUUCUGUCAGUUUCGUUGUAUGGAUCUUUUUAAACAAUUCAGGAGAAUAUAGCUAUGAUGUUGCGGUGGUUUACGUAUUGCUGGCUCGUUAUGAAUUCUAAAAGAUGAAAAAGAAAAUAGAGUUAGAGAUGUGAGUAUACUGUGUAGGUAACCAUGAUCAGCAUUCUAAUGGUUUUGUUAUUUAAUUGGUAAUUUGGUUUUUUUAUUUUGAUUACACCCAAACUUCCAAUGUGGUUUAACGGUCAUUAUUGAAUGAUGACCAGUAGGUCUACUGCAGUACUAUCUUCUAUAAUAAGGUAAUAAUUGCAGGUCCGUGCUACUCCUGGUCAUACAAUGGGUUGUGUUACCUAUGUCACGGGAGCUGGACCAGAUCAACCUCAGCCAAGGAUGGCUUUCACAGGAGAUGCUCUGUUGAUAAGGGGAUGUGGGAGGACAGAUUUUCAGGUGUAAUGUCUUGAAAAUGUUAUUGCAGCUAAUCGCAAAAAAAUGGAACGAAUUAAUAUUCAUGUCAUUAAUACAAAAGAAGCAGUCUAAAUUAAAAUGUUAAGCAUGUAAACCAAUCUUGGCUUUGCUUAUGCAAUUUAAAAUUUUUGUAUGUCCCCAUGUGAUGUUUGGAUUACGAAUGUAUAUUUAUCCACUGAUAUUUGUCCCAGGAAGGGAUUGUCGAACCAAUAAUUGAUUGUUUUUGCAUUUAAUUUGCAUGUCCUAUUUGUAUUUCAAACAAUAGGACCGAUGUGUAGAUAUCUAACUCUCGGUUACCUAUUUGUCUAGUCUUCUACUUAUCAGUGCCUACCUUGUUACUGUGGUUGCACAUAAAAUGUUUGUCAUUCAGAAGCCUCAUGGUAAACUAAUCAGUAAUUCAAUCAUCCUUGAAGUAAAAGUUUGAACUAUCAGGGCUAUACUUUUUGCAAUGGAUUUUCAGUCAUGAGUACAUAAAUGCUUGUUUUAUAUGCUGGCAAUUUCUUUCCAUCUGGAUGUCAUUGUCAUGGAUAUUUCUUUGUCUUCCAGGAUUUUUGUUAUGCUUAAGUUUUUAAGAUAAUUUUCUCUAAUGCUUCCACAUUCAGUAGCCAUUGACUAGUACUGAUUAAUACAUUUUGCAGGGUGGAAGUUCACAGCAACUCUACAAGUCAGUGCAUUCACAGGUAAGGACAGGGUCCUUUUAUGGUCCCAUUCUUUGAGUUCUCAAAAUUUUAUUGUAAUUGUCAAAAUUUGAAUAAAAAUUAUGGACUUAUUUGUUUCAUGGAUCCAGAUUUUUACAUUACCGAAAGAGACAUUGCUAUAUCCAGCUCAUGACUACAAAGGAUUCUCAGUAAGAUAUAUAACUUGAUUCCUAUCAUUUCUUACAUAUAUAAAUGAUUGUUUGAUUAUAUAAAACUCAUUGAUUAUAGGUAACCACUGUGGGAGAGGAGAUGCUAUAUAAUCCACGCUUGACAAAGGAUGAGGUAUUCUUUCCGGAACCAUCCAUCUUCCCUUUUCUUUGGAAAACAGCUUGUUACUUUUGACAAUAGAACAUUAAGAGUGCAUGUUUUCAUUUCAGUGAUAAGAAAGGGUUUCCUUUUAUCCGUAUGAUCUUUAACUCGUAUAAGCCGCAUAUAACUUCUGUAAUUAAAAUUGCAUAUGCAUUGAACAUUUCUUGCUGAGCAUUGGUUUGAUUCUCUUGGAUGGGACUAUUCCAAUGAACAUCGCUAUGGUAAAACAUGAAAUCAUGAAAAAGCAUGACAUCUCGAUAUCUUCACGCAUUUGAUUGAAGAUUAUUCUUUAUUGUGGUCAUAGAAUACUAGUUUCAAUGUGUCCUAUCAACAUGUCUGAUAAGAUAUUAUUUGUUGAAUACCCUUUUUGCAGGAGACUUUCAAAAAUAUCAUGGAAAGUAAGUUGAUGCUCACUAUAUCCAGUCUAUAAAAGAUUAGAAAAAAAAACAAAAAAGCAUCUUUGGGUUUUUUCGGAUUGCUGGUUCUGAUAUCUCCUCUGUUUUUGUUGGUGCAACAGAUCUUAACUUGGCAUAUCCUAAGAUGAUUGAUGUUGCAGUGCCAGCAAAUAUGGUUUGUGGGUUGCAAGAUUUGGAACCUAAAGCCGAUUGAGGCUUUGCUGGACACCAUCCAUAAGUGUGCACAGAUUUUAGUUGUAUUAUAAUUCUGGAUCUUAAUAUCACUGGAUAUGCUAAAUAAAAUGGCUAGAGAAGCCACGUGAUUGCAAGGAAUCCAUAAAUUAUAAAUAUAUACUAUAUCAUAUUGUAAUCAUGUAAUAUUGUCGUCUUUCUAUCUGCAUCAACUUGUGUUCUUCAUACAUACCCUCCUAAGUUACCGAACUAUCUAAACAACAGAACACCAAUCAUAUUUUUAUUAUGGACCAAUCAUAUUUUUCAGGUUUGAUUUGAUUAUUGGACCAACCAAAUUCAGCCAUAUCCUCUACAUUUCUGAAUUCGAUCAAGUAGAACAUAUUAGUAGGUAUAAGCUAUGAGUUGAAUUUGAUUUCAAGAUAAAUAACGAGUUGUACAAAUUUGUUGGAUUAACUUUGAUUUUAAUUUCAAUAUUAUAAUUUGAAUUCAAAUUAAUAUUAAAAAUUUUCAUUAUAAAUUAACUCGUGAAUUUUUUUCAAAACAAAUAUUAGAAGAUUAGAAUUUAAAUCAUUCGAUAACUUAAACUGACUCGAUUAACCGAAGUGAAUCAGGAAUAAUUUAGCUUCACAAGAUGUGUCGUUUAUAUCCCAAAUUACAAUGUAAUAAUAAGUUAAAAUUGCCAAACUGGGUAUGAUAGGCAGAAGGCAGCUUCCUGAACCCGAUCCUAACGCUCAAUUUUCCCUAGUUGAUUGAUCACCAUAACCAGAUCUAAUUUCCCAAUCUAGAAUCUCCCUGGGAGGAGAAAUGAGGAAUGAAGAUAGAGACAGAGGUGUAGCUGUAGAUAAACAGCAGCAUAACCAAUAUGGAACAUUCCAAGGAGUUGCCAACUACCCUCCUCCACGUCCUCCACGUCCCCACCACCACAACCCGCAUCCGCAACAGCAACAGCACCAGCACCAGCAACAGCAACAGCACCAUGUGCCAACUAUUGGGUUUCCUCCACCUCCCUCUAUCGCUCCUCCUCAGUAUUACCCCCAAGCCUACCAGACCGUGCCGGGUAUUCUACAAAUAUGAAAAAACUUUCUUCUCUUUUUAUUAGCUUAUCGAAAUGAAGGAUUUUGAGAUUUGGGUUCUUGUUAGAUGAAUGGUUAAUGAUAUUUUUUAAAUGAAAGAUCCAAGUUUUUUAAUGUUUUAGAAGAAAAGGUGUUUAAAUAUUAGGAGUUUUUUAGCAGAGAAAGAAGAUAAAUAAAUGCAUGAGAUACAUUAGCAAUAUUAUUUGGAUUUGGUUGUCUAAUGUAUUGAAUUUUUUUUUUAAGGGUGACCUGAGUAGGUGUGGGAAGAUUCAAAGUUUUUUCUAUUAUAGCAGAUAUAUAUAUUUUAAUGGUUUAAGAAGAAUGGAAGUUGGUUUCAAAGGAAGAUGAGAAAUAAAAGCAUUUAUAUAUAUAUAUAUGAUAUGUCAUUAAUUCAUAAACCAAACAUAUAAAAUAUGUAAAAAUGUUUGGGGGUUAAUUAUGGUGUUUUGACAAUCCUGUAACCUUCAACUUGAAGAAAACCUUAGGUUUCUAAAAUUUAUGUGAAGAGUUAGAAUGGUAGGCUUCAUGGAUCUGAAUAACUAGAAUCAAUGUAAGAGUGGUAUAUUGUGUGAAGUUUGGUUUCUUGUAUAUAAUUGUAUCGAAAACAAUGUUACAUGAUUUAAAAUGAUCGUUCAUCCAAUUUAACAAAGCCUGCAUUAUGUUGAUAAAAAAUUUUAAUUCAUGUUGCGGUUUGUUCUAUGAUAUCUUUGAUGUCUAGGUUAUGAUGUUGCUGAAGGAACACCUGUAAGAGAUAAGCUACCGUGCUGUGGCAUUGGAUUCGGAUGGUUCUUGUAAGUGUACAUAGUUUUCUUUGUUUUUUAGGAGUUCUUUACAUAUGAAGUAAAACAAGUAGCAACUUGAUGGAUAUGUCAUUAUGCUUUAACUUGAACAAAUCAUUUUCCUUUAUCUCUAAUUGCCAUUUCUUUAAAAGAAAAAGAGGGAGUUGUGUAGUUUACAGUUUGGACAAAUGGGAAGUUAAUAUAAUGCACUAUUUGGAUGAAAAUGUUAUAAGAAACCUGUGAGUUCAUAUUGGGUUUAUUUUUAUUGAAGCAAUGGUUAGCAUGUAGCAAUCACAUGUUUUAUUAUUAUUACUAUUAUUAUUAUUAUUUGGAUGUAAUGAUGUAACUUAGUUGUAUUCCAACUAAGUUUGUUAGUGGUAGUAGGUGGUGAUUUAUUUUAAGUGGAUGUAAUGAUAAAACUUAGUUGUAUUCCAACUAAGUUUGUUAGUGGUAGUAGGUGGUGAUUUAUUUUAAGUGGAUGUAAUUAUAAAACUUAGUUGUAUUCCAACUAAGUUUGUUAGUGAUAGUAGGUGGUGAUUUAUUUUAAGUGGAUGUAAUGAUGAAACUUAGUUGUAUUCCAACUAAGUUGUCAAGUUGUAAGCUUGUAUAAAUAGGCUUUAUGCCAUUUUAAAAAAAUGAAUGAAUUCAAUCAAGAUUUCAUCCAUAUACUCUCUAUUUUAGCUUUGCUUAAAAUUUAUUUCAUUUUUCUUCUUUGUUUCUGUCGCAAGUCUCGAUUCUUGCUCCUCAAGCUUUUUGUUGAACCUUGCUAUUUGUUGCACUUAGCUCCAACAAUUGGUAUCAAGAGCCUAUUUCUUAAGGGAUCUGUUAUACAAAUUCAUGGCUUCAUCAAGCUUUUCACCAGCUGCACCUCAAGUCUUCAAUGGAGAAGGCUACCACAUAUGGGUGGUUAAAAUGAAGACCUACCUACAAGCUUUCGAUCUGUGGGAGGUAGUCAACUCAGAUGUUGAACCAGAGCCACUUAGAGGCAAUCCAACAGUGGCUCAAAUCAGGCAGCAUGCUGAUGAGAGGACCAAGAGGCACAAAGCCAUGUCUUGCAUCCAGAACUCAGUGUCAGAUGUGAUUUUCACAAGGAUUAUGGCCUGUGAAUCACCAAAACAAGCCUGGGACAAGUUGCAAGAGGAGUUUCAAGGGACAGAGAGGACAAGGCAGCAACAGUUGCUGAACUUAAGGAGAGAUUUCGAGAAUUUGAAGAUGAAGGAAGAAGAAACUAUCAAGCAGUACUCUGACAGGAUUAUGGCUGUGGUUAACAGCAUAAGGCUCCUUGGAGAGUAGCUCAAGGAAGCUAGGAUAGUGGAGAAGGUUAUUGCAACUCUGCCCGAGAGGUAUGAGGUAAAAAUCUCAUCUCUCGAGGACUCAAGGGACCUGUACACCAUCUCCCUGACAGAGUUGAUCAAUGCUUUAUAUGCUCAAGAGAAAAGAAGAGCAAGCAGACUGGAGGAGCAUCAAGAAGGUGCCUUUCAGGCAAGAACAAACACUGCCUACAAAGGCAAGAAGGCCUGGAGAGACAAGCCAAGGACUGAUGUUGCAAGAAAAGAGGGUCAGACUUGCAAGCACUGCAGAAGGGCUGGUCAUCCAAAAGAAAAAUGCUGGUUCAAUCCAGAUGCUGUAUGUCAGCAUUGUAAAAAGAAGGGUCAUGUUGAGAGAGUCUGCAAGAGCAAGGCCAAAUCAAGGCAGAGUCAGUUUCAACAGAAGAAAGCUGAGGCUCGAGUAGCUAAGGAGGACAGUGACCAAGAGGAGCAAGUCUUUGCUGUGUUAUGCUCAGCUGCUCAAGAAAGGUUCUCAUCUGGUUGGCUUCUAGACAGUGGAUGCACCAACCACAUGACACCUGAUACUGCAAUCUUCAAGUCUUUAGACAGAAGCUGCAGAACUAAAGUCAAGAUAGGAAAUGGACAUUUUAUUCAAGCUGAAGGCAAGGGUGAUGUGCUGAUAUGCACCCCCACAGGUGCCAAAGUGAUUUCAAAUGUGCUUUUGGUGCCUGAAAUUGACAGAAACCUGCUCAGCAUAGCUCAGUUGCUGGAGAAAGGUUAUUCUGUUGUGUUCAAAGACAACCAAUGCCAAAUCAAUGAUCCAAGUGGAUCCAAGCUGAUGGCAGUUCCUAUGGCUAAUAAGAGCUUUGUAGUUGACUGGACCAGGGAGUCAGACAUUGCCUACACAGUCACAUCAGAUGAAUCCAAGCUUUGGCAUCAAAGACUGGGACAUGUCAACUUCAGAUCGAUGGCUCGAAUGGUCAGAGAGGACUUGGCUGAAAACUUCAUCAACUCAGUGGAUCAUGAUGAUGUGUGUGAAGUGUGUCAGCUAGGAAAGCAGGCCAGACUCCCAUUUCCCUCGAAUCAAGCCUGGAGAGCCUCUGAAAAACUCCAACUGGUGCACACUGAUGUGUGUGGCCCUAUGAGGACUGAGUCAUUAAGUGGAAACAGGUACUUCAUACUGUUCAUUGAUGAUUUUUCAAGAUAUUGCUGGCUUUACUUCCUAAAACAGAAAUCAGAGGCGGCCUCAGUGUUUUGGAAGUUCAAGACUGCUGCUGAGACUGAAACAGGUUGCAAGCUGAAGUCCAUAAGGUUUGAUAAUGGGACUGAGUACACCUCAGCUCAGUUCCAAGCCUUCUGUGAUAAGGCAGGCAUCAAACAUCAACUUACCAACACAUAUACACCUCAGCAAAAUGGUGUAAGUGAAAGGAAGAAUAGGAGUUUGAUGGAUAUGGCCAGGUGCUUGAUGAUUCAGAAGAAUCUGCCUAAAGCACUAUGGGCAGAGGCAGUUAACACUGCAAACUACAUUCAAAAUAGGCUUCCAACCAAGGCCUUGGAUCAGAAGACUCCAUUCGAAGCCUGGUUUGGAUUCAAGCCAUCACUGGCUCAUCUGAAGGUCUUUGGAUGCAUCUGUUAUGCUCAUGUACCUGCUGUCAAAAGGGACAAAUUGUCUGAAAGAGCUCGACCUGGUAUUUUGGUGGGCUACAGCACUGUUAAGAAGGGCUAUAGGAUCUUGGAUCCUUCAACAAAGAAAGUCUCAGUCAGUAGGGAUGUGGUAUUUGAUGAAAAGUCAUGUUGGAACUGGGAAAAACAUGAACCUGAGGAAGUUUCAGAAGGACUUGCAGCAGAUCAAGCUGAGCCAGAUCAAAAUGUUCCUGAAAUGGACAUUGAUGAUGAACCAGUUAGAGGAACAAGACCAUUGACUGAGAUUUAUGAAAGAGCUCAUGUAGCCAUAGCUGAACCAAGCAAUUUUGAAGAGGCUGAAGCUCAGCAAGAGUGGAAGCAGGCAAUAGCUGAGGAGAUUAGCAUGAUUGAGAAGAACCAGACCUGGGAAUUAGUUGAAAGGCCAGUCAAAAGGAAGAUAAUUGGGGUGAAAUGGGUGUACAAAGCCAAGCAAAAUGCUGAUGGUACCUUGAACAAACUGAAAGCAAGGCUAGUUGUCAAGGGGUUCAGUCAGAGGUAUGGCCUGGACUACCUAGAGACCUUUGCACCAGUGGCCAGGCUAGACACCAUCAGAUUAUUGAUUGCCUUAGCAGCACAGCUCGAGUGGAAGAUCCAUCAACUCGAUGUGAAAUCAGCCUUUCUGAAUGGUUUCUUAGAUGAAGAGAUCUAUGUUGAACAACCACAAGGGUUUGAGAUAGCUGGCAGAGAGCAUAUGGUCUACAAACUGAAGAAGGCCCUAUAUGGCUUAAAACAGGCUCCAAGGGCCUGGUACAGCAGAAUCGAUGGCUACUUGACUAAUUUGGGAUUCGAUCGAAGCAAGAGUGAGCCAACACUGUAUGUCAAGAAGCAAGGGACACAAACACAGCUCAUUGUAUCCCUAUAUGUUGAUGACCUGCUGGUGACAGGAGGAGAUCGAGCAGUGCUGGUCGAUUUCAAGACCAAGAUGCAAGAAGUAUUUGAAAUGUCUGAUCUAGGGGAAAUGUCUUAUUUCAUUGGAAUGGAGGUGACUCAAGCACAAAAUGGGAUAUUUCUAAGUCAGAGAAACUUUGCCACAAAGAUUCUGACCAAGUUCUCCAUGCAAAACAGUAAAGCAACUAAAACACCUGUUGCUGUUGGAGAAAAACUAUCGAGCCAAGGUGAUUUUGAGAAGGUUUGUGAAACAACCUACAGAAGUCUAGUUGGUUGUCUGUUAUAUUUAACUGCCACUAGACCAGACAUAAUGUAUGCUGUAGGAUUGCUCUCAAGGUUCUUGCAUUGUUGCAAUAAAAAGCAUUUACAAGCUGCUAAGAGAGUGCUUAGAUAUGUCAAAGGUACUUUGAGCUAUGGUUUAAGGUACAGCAAGGAAGGAAAUCUGAAGCUGGUUGGCUACACUGAUAGUGACUGGGCUGGCUCGAUAGAUGACAUGAAAAGCACCUCAGGGUAUGCUUUCAACCUUGGUUCAGCCAUGUUUUGCUGGAGCUCGAAGAAGCAAAGUCUCGUGGCUCAAUCUACUGCUGAAGCAGAAUAUGUGGCAGCUGCAAGUGCUGUCAACCAAGCCAUUUGGCUAAGGAAAAUCUUAGCUGAUUUGAAAGUGCAUCAAAAGGAAGCUACUGAGAUCUUCUGUGACAACCAAUCUUCAGUUGCAAUUGCUAAAAAUCCAGUGUUCCAUGGAAGAACAAAGCAUUUCAGCAUCAAGUUGCAUGUUGUUCGAGAAAUGGAGCAAGCUCAGGAAGUGAAGCUGAUCCAUUGUAAUUCUGAGGAUCAACUUGCAGACAUUUUGACUAAAGCCCUUAAUGUCACAAGGUUCGAAUGUCUAAGAAGGAAGCUAGGUGUUUGCUCCAUGCAAACCAAGGAGGAGUAUUGAAGCAAUGGUUAGCAUGUAGCAAUCACAUGUUUUAUUAUUAUUACUAUUAUUAUUAUUAUUUGGAUGUAAUGAUGUAACUUAGUUGUAUUCCAACUAAGUUUGUUAGUGGUAGUAGGUGGUGAUUUAUUUUAAGUGGAUGUAAUGAUAAAACUUAGUUGUAUUCCAACUAAGUUUGUUAGUGGUAGUAGGUGGUGAUUUAUUUUAAGUGGAUGUAAUGAUGAAACUUAGUUGUAUUCCAACUAAGUUGUCAAGUUGUAAGCUUGUAUAAAUAGGCUUUAUGCCAUUUUAAAAAAAUGAAUGAAUUCAAUCAAGAUUUCAUCCAUAUACUCUCUAUUUUAGCUUUGCUUAAAAUUUAUUUCAUUUUUCUUCUUUGUUUCUGCCGCAAGUCUCGAUUCUUGCUCGGCAAGCUUUUUGUUGAACCUUGCUAUUUGUUGCACUUAGCUCCAACAAUUUUAUAUCAUAAUUAGAUUGUUGAGCUGGCUGUCAUACUUAGAUGGUCUUUCAUUUUGCUACUUGUUAAACCAUACCACUUUCACAUUCAUACUUGAAAUGGCUGGGAUUUAGUGCCAUUCUACUUAGCAGCCUCGUGUAAUACACAGGUGAAAUGUUUAUCUUUUCAUGUCACCUUAAAGUUCCCAUUUCCAUGACGGUAUUGUUAAUUGAAGACUGGUAGACACCCCAAAAUACGGAAAUUGUUUUGGAUGUAUACCACUUUACCAUGCAUGAUUGCAUGACAUAUAUUUUUCUACAAGUUUGCAUGACAUUUUAUUAUUAUAUUGGUCGUUAUUUUCUGUACUCGUAGCUUCCAUUUAUAUAUUUUUAUGAAUUUUGAACUUUCUUGUUUAAUAAGAGAAGUAUGCUGCUUUGAAGGUUCAUCAUUGGUUUCUUCAUUGGUGGCCUUCCCUGGUAUAUUGGAUUCUUUGUUUUACUUUGUGCAAGGAUAGACGACAGAGAGAAAGCAGGAUAUAUUGCUUGCACAAUUGCCGUGAGUAUCUUUUCUAUCAGUAUUUUUUCUUUUCCAAUUUUAUGAAAGCCAUCCUGCCUUGUAUUGAUCAUCAACUUAACCAUUAUAUAUAUAUGUGUGUGUAUCUUAUGUAUUUGUACCAUGCUUUAUCUUCAAUGCAAAUAUAAGUUAAACUACAAAGAUUGGAUUGUUAAAAAAAAGUUUAAAAUGUUAAAAAAAUUGGAAAUUUUGAUUUUGUAAGAAUGAUAGAAAACCAAGGUCAAUGCUUGCAUAUGUUAUCUACUACAUACACAAUCGGGUCGAUGUCUGUCUAUAUUUUUCUUGUUUAGAAAUCGUGUUCAAUUGGGUUACAAUAUGUACUAUUGAAGUGUCAAUUUUUAAUUUCCUUAUCAAGAUUACACAUUUUUUUGUUAAUAUUUGGAAUCACUUAAUGGUUAUAAACCCUGCGUGGAUACUGUCCACAAAGUCUAGUUGGAAAAUCCCUUGUAUUCUUUGUCCUUUCUAAGAACUUUUCCUUUCCAUCAUUCUCGCUUCUGUUUUCUUUUUUCUUCCCUCUACUUUAAGUCAUUAUCUAACGUAGAUAUCCCUUGUAUUCUUUGUCCUUUCUAUGGCAAUCGAGUCAAUUGAUGGCAAGCCAAAAAAAAGAACAACUAUCCUGUCUUACUCGAUUGCCAUCCCUACUGUUAAACACCAUUAGGAAAAGGAAAAUUUUAGUUAAGCUUUAAAACAGCCAUGUUUUAACGAUGUUGGUGAUGGUGCUUGUGCAGGCCCUUCUUGCUACAAUUACAAUUAUUCUUAGUAUAACAAUUAAAGCUGGUGGGUGGUAAAGCACACCUGUUUUUGACUGAGAGAUGUAUAGGUUCCCAAAUAAUAUGUAUAUGCCCCCCCCCCCCCCCCUCUUUUAUUUUAUUUCAUUUCCAGUAAGUUAUUGUUUAUGAUAAUUUGCAACAAAUGUUUUUAUCAUUAUUUUGUUGGUGAAUGAUAAUAAGAUUAAACUUUACUUUCUUAAGCUCCAAUUCUUUGGACGUUGGUGAUUUUUUAUUAUAGUUGAUUCAUUGUAUGGUAUUAAUAUAAUUUAUGUCGCUUAAAAUUUAUAACUGGAAAUAUAAAUUUUAAAUUUUACUUCAAUUUGUUUGUAUUUAUAAAUGGUUAAUUCAAACUUAUCUUUUUCCUCAUUAUAUUUUAUAUUUAAAUUAACAUUUAAACUAUUUUCAUUAGCAAUAUUGUUAUUAAUUAUAUUUAUUAGCACCAGCAUCAAACUUACUAAAAAUUAAAUUUUUAACUUCAAAAAAAAAUAUUUUUAGCUAUUUAUCAUCACAGAGAAAAAAAGGUAAGGUCACCACGCCUCAUGCUUCAACACCUCAAACUAGACUCUCAUCACCUGUAUUUAUCAUCGAUUCAGAAUUUUAUUUUUACUGUAUUCCAGAACUACCUAGAAAUAUAUCUUCAAACUUCCUCUGGUUAAGUUCAUUGAUAGUCAACUUACUAUUAUUUCUAAAAAAAGACAAAUAAAUUGAUUAAUAGUAAUAUCAAUGGUUCAAUUUUAUUCUUACCAGUAUCUGUCCUUUAGAAAGGGGCUUAUAAAAGAGAUAAGAGGUGAGUAAACUUGAGCUUCAGCUUUCCACAAACACCUUAAUUUGAAGACACUGUUCUCUCAUACUAAAAAAGACAUGGAAGUUUACCUUGUAAUUAGAGAUUUGGUUUCAUUGCUUGUUGUUGGGUUAUUAAUGAUAUGGGGAUGGAGAGCUUUAAACUGGGUAUGGCUGGCCCCAAAAAGGCUCGAAAGGUGCUUGAGACAACAGGGUUUAUGUUUUUUUAUUUAAUCUGCAAUUUAUGAUAAUUCUUUGUUAUUUAUGUAAGGAAUUUAUUGGGAGGAAAUGCAGGAAAGAAUUCAUUUACGUGGUUUGGUCCAAGACCAAGGGUGAACAUUACGGACCCUGAAAAAAUAAGAGAAAUACUUAACAAAUUUAAUGACUUCCAGAAGGUACGUACCAAUCCACUGCUUAAUUUGCUUGUAAGCGGCCUUGCUAACCUCGAAGGAGACCGAUGGAGCAAGCGUAGAAAAAUCAUAAACCCUGCAUUUCAUCAAGAUAAGUUGAAGGUAUAGAAUAGUGAUGGGUACUCAAGACUUUACAGAAAACAUCAUACUUAAACCUGAGCUUUUCUGAUUUAGAAAUAAUUGGAUGCAGAAUAUGUUGCCAGCAUUUUAUCAAAGUUGUAGUGACAUGUUAAGAAAAUGGGAGAAGAUGGUGUGUACAGAAGGAUACAGUGAGUUAGAUGUGUGGCCUUAUCUCGUAGAUUUGACAAGAGAUGUGAUUUCCCGAUCUGCUUUUGGAAGCAGCUUCGAAGAAGGCAAACGAAUUUUCCAAUUACUAGAGGACCAACUCGUUCUCACAAUCAAAUUAAUACAAACUGUUUACAUUCCAUGAUGGAGGUAACCCUCAACUUAAUUUACUUGAAAAAGGUUGCAAAUGUUGGAAUUCGCUAAAUUCGUGUUUGUUUUCUUGAAGGUUUUUGCCAACAAAGACAAACAGGGAGAUGAAGAUGAAACACAGAGACAUAAAAGAGUCGCUUAGGGAAAUGAUAAAGAGAAGAGAGAAGGCAAUUAAAGCAGGGGAAGAGAGCAAUGAGGACUUGUUGGACAUACUUGUGGAAUCCAAUAUCAGAGAAAUGGAAGCAAAGAAUAUGGGGAUGAGCAUUGAGGAUGUGAUUGAGGAAUGCAAGCUGUUUUACUUUGCUGGCCAAGAGACCACUUCGGUCUUACUGGUGUGGACUAUGGUUUUAUUAGCAAGGUAUCCCGAUUGGCAAAGUAAAGCAAGAGAGGAGGUUUUGCAUGUUUUGGGUGACAGUAAACCUGAUGCUGAUGGCCUUAAUCGUCUCAAAGUUGUAAGUCCCUAGCAUGUCUUUUGAAGGUCCGAUCAAUGAGGUCGACAACUCAAAAACUUGGUUUUUUUUGUUUCGCUAAUUCUACAGGUAACAAUGAUAUUGUACGAGGUUCUAAGGUUGUACCCACCAGUGGUUGAGCUAGGACGUUCCGUUCCAAAAGAAAUAAAACUGGGGAAUUUGUUGUUACCAGCAGGAGCAGAAGUUUCGGUUCCGAUCCUGCAGAUCCACCAUGACAAAGAUCUUUGGGGUGACGACGCACGGGAAUUUAAGCCAGAGCGGUUGGCGGAAGGGGUUUCCAAAGCAACAAAGAGUCAAGUCACGUUUCUGCCAUUCGGAUGGGGUCCUAGGAUCUGUAUUGGCCAAAAUUUUGCCAUGAUGGAAGCCAAAAUGGCGAUGGCUAUGAUUCUCCAACGCUUCUGGUUCGAGCUUUCCCCUUCCUAUGCUCACUCUCCUUACAGCAGGGCAACUCUUCGUCCACAGCAUGGUGCACAGAUAGUUUUACAUAAACUUGGCUCUAAUUGAAUUGUUAUGUAAACAGAUCUUUUUGAAAAUAUAGCGUUUUAGUGUAUCGUCAAAGUCCGGUGUCUGUAAUGGUACAAUUCCGAUGCAUGAAUAGUAAAUUUUAAGAUGUUUGGUUAAGUCCGAAAUAAUAUGCAGAAAUUGAGUGUCUUGAAUGGAUGUAGUAUUUAAUGGUGGACAUAGUUGAGGGAUUAAUGUGGUAAUUAUCGAACAAAUAAUUGCAUAUGGUACAAAGACUUAUAUGGAAAUUAGAGCGGGGGGAGUAGAAAAUGACUACUUUGCUUUGGGCAUCAAUUUAGAAAGAUUUAAAGUACAAAUGUAUUAUUAGUUUAAAGGAUUUGUUUUAAAGAAGGAAUGACAAUUAAACCUCAUGGUUGAUUUGUGGAAGGGAACCGAUGAUGGGAUGAUUAUUCUUAGUGGUAAAAAAAAAACUAUUAAGGAGGUUAUUAUACUUGUUAUCAAUUUCUCAAAAUUUGAAUGGGUUUAAGUCAGAUUAUAUCGAGCUUGUUAGAUGAGUUCACGGACCAAGCUUGCAUGAUAAUGGCUGCUUACAGAAAUGUAUCUAUAGUUUUCUACAAAGUCAUAUGUGAAAUUAUGCAUUGGUACCGCAUAAACAUGUUUUAUGUCUAGAAUAUUAUACGUGUCUAUGUGCAUGGAAUCUACCUAGUAUAUCAUAUCAAUGAACAGUAUCAAUGGUGGACCUCAAAAGUAUUUUUGGGGGAUCAGAAUUAAACUGUAUGUUUUUAUGAAAGUAAAAAUUUAAUUUCACUAUUUUAUAGUCAAUUUCUUUUUAAUUUUUGAAGGAUUAAAUCAAAUUUUUAUAAAUUUUUAGGAGGUUGAAGUACAAUUUUAUCAUUACUAAUUUAAAAUUUUAUAAAUUAUAAAAAAUAUAAAUAAAAAAUUUUAUAUUUUAGGAUAGCCAAGGCUCCUGCCAACUCUAACUCACUGAAUAGUAUAAAUAAAUAAAUACCAUCAUCUAAAAUAUGGGUAAGUGUCCAAAAUAUGAUUUUGGUGAAAAUAUGUAGGGUUGGUCUCAUGGAAGUGUAAAGACAAGAACCCCGCUAAUGUAUGGGAUGUGUAAAGUUGAAUCUAGGGAGCAAAUAGGAGUGAAUCAUUUUGGUAACAUUUGGACAAGAAACAUAAUGAACAAAAUGAAAGGAGAGGAAGCUAGUAAAAGAUUUUUUUGGGUCAUAUAAUUUGUUUGGCAUAUAUUUUUAUAAUUUUUAAAUAUCAUUUUGGAGUUGAAUUAUAACUUUUUUUUAUAUAUUAUCUUAAAAUUUUAUAAAAUUUAAGGAGUUAAAACGUAAUUAUUCCAUGGGUCAGAGCUGCCCUCGCUUUGCAUUUCUUUGAGAUUCAGCCUUAUCUCAAUUGAGGGUUGAGUAGAAAGAUUUGGUGGAGCAAGCAAAGCUAUCAAUCAAGGUUGGAGAAAGCUUAGGAGGUCACAAUGCAUAAUUAUUUAAAUGUAAUUCUAAUAUUUAAAUAAAAUUUAUUAAUAUAAUAUCAGCAAGUGUUAAAUAUAAUGAUCAGAUACCAUUAUAUUUUUAGAAAGAGAAAAUAUGUUUAAACCUUAAAAACGGCGUUACUAAAAAUAAUAAUCACAAAUCUUGAAAUAUAAAAAAUAAAUUUUUUAAUAUAAUUAAAAUUUAAUUUGAAAGCCGAGCUGGAUAAAAUUCUAAUUUUAGAUAAUGGUACCAACAACAAAUCAAUAUUUAAAUUAAAAUUAAUCUAAAUUUAAUAUAAUCAAAUUGGACUCUAAUAUUAAAUUUAAUAUAAUCAAGGUUCAUGAACUUUAUACCCUAUGCUUUACGUAAUUGAAAAAAAAAUCAUUGGACAUAAAAGUCUACGAAAAGUUUCACUAUAUUAAUAAAUAAAUAAAUAAAAAAUAUUGCUACAAGAUUACAACACAAAGUUACAAUAAGAGCUUAUAACUUAACAAAGGCUAUCAAUAAAUAAUCUCAAACAAACUAAAGAGAAAUAUUGAGAGUCCCACCAAAUAGUGAUUGCCUUUAAAAGUUAAAAACUCGAAGUUAUAGUAUCUCAAAUGAAAUUAAACCAUGAACAUUAAAUUUUUCGAGUCUACUAGCUACUGUAAAAAAUUGAGCUCCAACGGACAACAAAUGAACCUUUGAUCGAAGAAAAUACGAAAAUUAGUCUCGGUAAAUCAAGCUGCCAAACUUACUUUUUAUCUUAUCUUUAAUUUGUAAUAAAAUUCAAAAUUAAGGUUUUGUUUGUUUCACUUAGAACAACUUUCAAAAAAUUAAUUUUGGAAAAUGGAUUGAUUUUUCGAAAUAGAUGAUAUUUUAUUGUGUAAAAAUUUUAUUUGUUGUUUGAUGAACUUUUUUUUAAAUCAUUUUUUUAGAAUUAUUUUUAGUGAAACAAAUAUAUCAUAAAUAUAUUUGUUACAAAAUAUUAUAUUAGUAUUUUCUUUUGACAAUUAAAGUUUAUUUUAUGAUAAGACAAUAUUUUAUAAUAAUUAAUAUCAUAUAUACUUAAUAAUAAAUCAUGUCUAAUUAAAAUUUAAGUUAAAUUAAAUAUAUUAAUAAAGCUACAUAUAAUCAUAUUUUAUAUAAUUAAAAUAUUAAUAUAAAUAUUUUUCAAUAAGAUAUUAAAGAAUAUUUAAAAUUUAAAUUUAUUAUUACUAAAAUUAAUUAUUAAAAUAAAAAUGUAAUAUUAAAUAAUUUAUCUAAUGAUAAGUUAUAUUAAUAAUUUAUUAUAUCAUUAAAUAAAAAUAAUUAAAUAUGUAUGUUUAAUAAUAUUAUGUUAUAAUAUUCAUUAUUAAUAUCUUAAUAUUCUUAAACAGCCGUGUCUCAAAGAUGGUUGUGAUGGUGAUGUGAUGAUGCAGCCCCCCUUCUUACAAUUACAAUAAUUUUUAGUGCAAUAAUUAAAGUUGCUGAGUGGUAAAGUAAACUUCUUUUGACUGAGAUGCAUGUAAUAUAUGGAUGUUGAGGUUUUAGACUGCGCCAUCUUUAAAGGGGUUAAAUUAUAUAUUUAUAUAAUAUGAUUAUUGUUUAUGAAUAUAAUAUUAUAGAUAAGUUUUUAUACAUAUUAAUAUGUAUUUUAUUUUAAUGUUAAUAUGUAGUUUUUUAGAUGUGGAUUCACCUAUAUAAUGAUAUGAACUCAUUAUGCAGUCUCAUGAAAUAUGCAAACACAUAUAGUGUAAAUAUAAAGUAUGAACCACCAAAAGUACAGAUCAACACCUAAUUGAAUAAUUGGAUAACAGAUAGGUAAUAAUAAAUAUCAUUCACUAUCCCCUCUUGUUUUAAUUUAUUUUAUUUCCAGUGAGUUAUUUUUUUUAUGAUAAAUUUGCAACAAAUGUUUUUAUCAUUAUUUUGUUGGUAAAUGAUAAUAAGAUUAAAUUUACUUUCGUAAGCUCCUUCAAUUCUUUGGAGUUAGUGGUUUUUUAUUCUGAUCUUUUUUUCUUAUUAAAUUUUUUAUAAUAAAUGUGUUUAUAGAUGAGGUUAGAUUAUAAUUGAAUUAUUUUAUAGCAUUAACAUAAUUUAGAUGGAUUAAAAUUUAUUCUACUAAAAAUAUAAAUUUAAAAUUUUACUUCAAUUUAUCUUAAUUUAUAAAUGAUGAAUUUAAAUUUACUUUUUCCCCAUUAUAUUCAAUUUUCCACAUAAUAUUUGGCCUAGAACAAAAACUAGAACAAUAAAACAAAUAUAAACUAUGCUACAAAGAGUAUACAGCUACAGAAAGCUGAAAUGUUUUCCAAAAAUUAUAUUGUUAACUUUUAAAAAAAAUAUUUUAGCUAUUUAUCAUCAUGAAGAAAAAAGAUACAGUCAUGCACCUGGCCUCAUGCUUCAACACCUCAACCUAGAUUCUCAUCACCUGUAUUUAUCAUCGAUUCAGAUCUUUAUUUUUACUAUAUUCUAGAUCUCCCUAUAAAUAUAUCUUCAAACUUCCUUUGGUUAAGUUCAUUCAUAGAUGGGUGAGUAAACUUGAGCUUCAGCUUUCCACAAACACCUUAAUUUGAAGACACUGUUCUCUCAUGCUAAAAACCACAUGGACGUUUACCAUGUAAUUAGAGAGUUGGUUUCAUUGCUUGUUGUUGGGUUAUUAAUGAUAUGGGGAUGGAGAGCUUUAAACUGGGUAUGGCUGGCUCCAAAGAGGCUCGAAAGGUGCUUGAGACAACAGGGUUUAGCAGGGAAUUCUUACAGGUUCCUUUCUGGUGACAUAAAAGAGCUCUUCACUAUGAGCAGACAAACAAGAGCCAAACCUAUGCCUCUUAGUGAUGAUAUUGGGCCUUAUGUUGUUCCUUUUCAACAUCAAACUGUCAACCAGUAUGGUAUGUUUUUUUGUUUAAUCUGCAAUUUAUGAUAAUUCUUUUUUAUUUAUGUAUGGAAUUUAUUGGGAGGAAAUGCAGGAAAGAAUUCAUUUACGUGGUUUGGUCCAAGACCAAGGGUGAACAUUACGGACCCUGAAAAAAUAAAAGAAAUACUUAACAAAUUUAAUGACUUCCAGAAGGUACGUACCAAUCCACUUGUUCAUUUGCUUGUAAGCGGCCUUGUUAACCUCGAAGGAGACCGAUGGAGCAAGCAUAGAAAAAUCAUAAACCCUGCAUUUCAUCAAGAUAAGUUGAAGGUAUAGAAUAGUGAUGGGUACUCAGACUUUAAAGAAAACAUCAUACUUAAACCUAUGCUUUUCUGACUUAGAAAAUAAUUGGAUGCAGAAUAUGUUGCCAGCAUUUUAUCAAAGUUGUAGUGACAUGUCAAGCAAAUGGGAGAAGAUGGUGUGUACAGAAGGAUACUGUGAGUUAGAUGUGUGGCCUUAUCUCGUAGAUUUGACAAGAGAUGUGAUUUCCCGAUCUGCUUUUGGAAGCAGCUUCGAAGAAGGCAAACGAAUUUUCCAAUUACCAGAGGACCAACUCGUUCUCACAAUCAAAUUAAUACAAACUGUUUACAUUCCAGGAUGGAGGUAACCCUCAACUUAAUUUACUUGAAAAAGGUUGCAAAUGUUGGAAUUCGCUAAAAGCGUGUUUGUUUUCUUGAAGGUUUUUGCCAACAAAGACAAACGGGGAGAUGAAGAUGAAAUACAAAGACAUAAAAGAGUCGCUUAGGGAAAUGAUAAAGAGAAGAGAGAAGGCAAUUAAAGCAAGGGAAGAGAGCAAUGAGGACUUGUUGGACAUACUUGUGGAAUCCAAUAUCAGAGAAAUGGAAGCAAAGAAUAUGGGGAUGAGCAUUGAGGAUGUGAUUGAGGAAUGCAAGCUGUUUUACUUUGCUGGCCAAGGGACCACUUCGGUCUUGCUGGUGUGGACUAUGGUUUUAUUAGCAAGGCAUCCCGAUUGGCAAAGUAAAGCAAGAGACGAGGUUUUGCAUGUUUUGGGUGACAGUAAACCUGAUGCUGAUGGCCUUAAUCGUCUCAAAGUUGUAAGUCCCUAGCAUGUCUUUUGAAGGUCCGAUCAAUGAGGUCGACAACUCAAAAACUUGGUUUCUUUGUUUCGCUAAUUCUACAGGUAACAAUGAUAUUGUACGAGGUUCUAAGGUUGUACCCACCAGUGGUUGAGCUAGGACGUUCCGUUCCAAAAGAAAUAAAACUGGGAAAUUUGU